AUUGAACGCUGGCGGCAUGCCUUACACAUGCAAGUCGAACGGCAGCACGGGAGCAAUCCUGGUGGCGAGUGGCGAACGGGUGAGUAAUAUAUCGGAACGUGCCCAGUAGUGGGGGAUAACUGCUCGAAAGAGCAGCUAAUACCGCAUACGACCUGAGGGUGAAAGGGGGGGAUCGCAAGACCUCUCGCUAUUGGAGCGGCCGAUAUCAGAUUAGCUAGUUGGUGGGGUAAAGGCCUACCAAGGCAACGAUCUGUAGUUGGUCUGAGAGGACGACCAGCCACAUUGGGACUGAGACACGGCCCAGACUCCUACGGGGGGCAGCAGUGGGGAAUUUUGGACAAUGGGCGCAAGCCUGAUCCAGCAAUGCCGCGUGCAGGAAGAAGGCCUUCGGGUUGUAAACUGCUUUUGUCAGGGAAGAAAUCCUCUAGGUUAAUACCCUUGGGGGGAUGACGGUACCUGAAGAAUAAGCACCGGCUAACUACGUGCCAGCCGCCGCCGUAACAC
rnacentral:rRNA from 1 species